CCUACGGGCGGCAGCAGUGAGGAAUAUUGGUCAAUGGACGUAAGUCUGAACCAGCCAUGUCGCGUGCAGGAUGACGGCUCUAUGAGUCGUAAACUGCUUUUGUACGAGAAUAAAAGUCCUUACGUGUAGCGAUUUGUAUGUACCUUAUGAAUAAGGAUCGGCUAACUCCGUGCCAGCAGCCGCGGUAAUACGGAGGAUUCGAGCGUUAUCCGGAUUUAUUGGGUUUAAAGGGCGCGUAGCCGGGUUGACAAGUUAGAGGUGAAAUGUUGGGGCUUAACCCCGUGCCUGCCUCUGAUACUGUUCGACUAGAGAGCUGAUGCGGCAGGCGGAAUGAGUAGUGUAGCGGUGAAAUGCUUAGAUAUUAGGCGGAACACCAGUUGCGCAGGCAGUUUGCUAAUCAGCAUCUGACGGUGAUGCGCGAAAGCGUGGGUAGCAAACAGGAUUAGAUACCCGAGUAGUC
rnacentral:rRNA from 1 species